AUGCACUAUUUCUCAACGUCAUAUGGAUGUGCUACCGAGUGAAACGGUGUAAUGAAGUUUAACUCGGCAAGCCAAUUAAGAACAAAUUCUUAUUUACAUUGACGGCCUACCCCUGUUUCCAGUUAUCCACAAGGCUAGGAGAACCUAUUCAAGUAAGUUGUCUGUCCUCAGAUAAAGAGCUCUAUGAAAGCCAGUCUACAUAUGAAGAGGUCCCAAUGAAGAGCAGUGGUUCUCAGUCCUGGGGACUCAGAGGGGCACAUUUUGGUUUUUACCUUCACACUGCACAGCUGAUUCAAAUAAUCAACUCAUUAUCAAGCUUCAGAUUGCCUACAGUUAACAUGUAGGGCAAUGCAAGGUUGGGUGACCAAGAACCAGGAGGGUAUCUGCAGCUCGCCGCCGUGUGCCAGAGGAGAAGUCUGCUGCUCUGCAGGAUGUUUCAAGGAUGGGGUCCAACAACGCAGCAAGAGAGGCAACCCGUGUGCAGGAGAUCUUCACCUCCUACUUCUUCAAAGAGGGUG